CUGAGGCACCUGCUGUUUGGAUCUGCAGCAGACUUGCUGAUAACUCUCAUUAUUCGAUGGUAAAUGAUACUCAGAUGUUCUGCAGCAGCAGGAAAUUCAAUGUAUGGGUACCCAUUAAAGGCCUGAUUCCAUUUUCUAACUACACAGUGCAAGUGAAUGCAUCCAACAGCCAGGGCAGCUUGAUAAGUGAUGCUGUAACAAUUGUCAGGCCUCCAGGAGCCAAACCUGUGUGGAUUGGCAGUUGAUCAGGAAGGGUCAGCCAGGACUGUGCAUGUGCUUAAAUGCUGGAACUGCCAGUUAAAGUCACUGUUGCACAAUAAGAAGCUGAAACCGUGAGAACAAAUGAUCUUCAGAGU